ACCUGCAAGUAUAACGAAUUCAAUUAAUAAUAUUUCAGCGAAAACAUUUCUAAUCUGGUCAAUCAAUCAAAGCAAUCUACAAUGAAAAACAAUGUCCAAAUUCAAUCUUUAUAUGAUAGAUAUAAGAUUUAUACCAUAAUGAGAAGGAUUAAAAGAAAAAUACGCACAUAUCAAUGAUCAUAUCAGAAAAAUCUCAAUGAUAUCUAUUAUUGAUUUCAUAAGUUGACAUCUGGAUCUAAAAAAUCAAACCACUAAAGGGACAAUGAGUUGAUAUCUAUAUUUCUGUUGGAAGACUCCUUGUUCAUAUUAUUGUGGAAACAAUUUGCAUAACAAUAUUAGCAAUGACAAAGGAAGAACAUGGAGAUUAGUAUUAGAUCUAGAUGCACAUAUAUCCCAAAUUCCAGCAAAAUUUAAUCAUUUUGCUGCCAUGUGUAGUGAGUGCCCUUUACCCUUUCUAAAGGGUGCUAAAUCCAGUUCUCUUGUGACAAUCUUACCAUUUUUCUUAUGUUGAAUUGUGGAUUGGAAAAACGUCUACAAAUAACAGCCAAUGAAAGCAUGAAAUAAUUAUAGAUAAAACAAAACAAUCAAUAAAAGAAGAUGAGAUCGAAUAUUAAGAAUUAGGACCCAAAAUCCAAAAUAAUCAACAACUGAAAUAGUCAAUGUUUCAAAGGAUAGUAUUUCACAAUUUACAUUCUACUAAAAAAUGAAACAUGAAGAAGCAGAGAACUGAGGUCAAUUACAUCAGCCAGACAAAAGUGACAAAUCUAGAGUAUUACCAAAUUUAAGAGUUCAACCAGAAUCCCUCUCACUCGUGACCAAUGCCUGAAUAAAACUUUGUGCAGCAUGAGUUUGCUCUGGUUCCAGAAAUUACAAUUUUAGUUUCCACUUUCCACAGCUACAGGCUUUGGAUCAGUAAUCAAAAUCUUCACAUUGGAGAUAUGGAGUAUUACAACCUAAUCAGAUCAGAAUACACAAAAAAAUCAAAACCCAAAAAAAUAAAGAUGAUAACUCUGGAAAACUUCAAUGUCAAACUCCCAUCGAGCCACUACGCAAAGAUUUCCAUGUAAAUAGUUCCACAGCAAAACCCUGUCAACCGAAAUUCGAUAUCAAUUAUGAGAAUAUUGGAAUCAAAGAAACACAACUGCUUCCCCCACUCAUUAUUUUAUUAUAUUUUAUUCAAUCCAUCCUCACUAAUCUCUCCCUCCCACUAUCUCAUUAAUGCUUUUUCUUUCUCCCACUACUUCCCUCAUUAAUUUCGAAUAUGAAUGACUUCACUCACUAUCCAUUAUCAAUGUGACUAAUCAAUGACUUUCUCCUCAACAAACUCUCAUCACUACAUAACUCAACCCAAUAUGUUUUAUCAUUUUUCCUCAUUCCAAUUAAUCUCUUCCAUCUAUUCCCUUAAUCAAUAACCCUUUUGAAAAUUUAAAUUUAAACUUGCUCUUCCCAAUCAAGCUGUAAUCCAACCGUACACCAUCCACUGCUUUGGAAACACGCACCACAUUCAAUCUUCUUCCAAGCUCCCACACAAGCUUUUAAAUCUUCUUCCAUCCCAAAUCACCACACAAGCUUUUUCUCUAGCAUUUUUUGGAUUCAAUUUCUCUGAUUCAAUUUCACGCCAACAAGAAAGAGAGUGCAUCAUAGAAAUUGAACCAAAACACCCUAAUCCCAAAUCACCAUGCCAUAGAAGCAGAAUUUCCCUUCUCCUCUCGAAGAUCCACCCACCGCGUCUUCCUCCUCCGGUUCAAAUGAAGAACAUCAACCUCUGUCUCAAGAAAAACACGUAGAAGAAGAAGGAAAAAAAAAAAAGCUUCGUCUUCUCUGCAACCCGAUUCCAAAACCCCUCGCGAUUUCAGUUGCGCGUUACUAUAAUUUUACUCAUCAUUGUCUGCUUCUUUUUCUUUUUCUUUGUGUUUUGGUUACAUAUUUCCCCUGUUUGCAGGGAUUGUUAGAAAUGAUUCCCAGGGUUUGUUAGACCAGCUUCCAUUUUAAGCCCUUGCAGACAUAGUUAGAUGGAGAAAGGAAGACGAAUAGAGGAAUGACAAGAGUUUGCUGCCAUGAUGAAUGCUUUAACAUAGAAGCACUUACGUGGCUUGAUGAAUGAACCAGAGAAUGACUUCAAGACUAUGGACUUUCAUGGCAAAUGUUGGAAAGACUUGAAGUAUUUGAAAUAUUAGAUUUUGAGUAGUUAUUAAAUUGCAGGAGGUCGAUCUUCCAUUGUUGUAUUUUGGUUUUCUUUUUUCUUUUUUUUUGACAAUGAAAAGCUAGGAUCAUUUAAACUCAAUUAUUUCUUUAAGAACCAAUGUAUAGUUUGGGCUAUACAUGAACCCUUUUCAAUGAAAUUAGCCGUGCAGGGUCUUUGCUCCA